CCCUUAGAUGUUCUGGGCUGCACGCGUGCUACACUGAUAUUGCCAAUAUGUCAUUCUUAUCCGAAAUGGAUUGGGUAAUCAAGUAAUGAAAUUUCAUGCUUGGAAUCGGUAAUUGCAAUUUCAUCGUGAACGAGGAAUUCCUAGUAAGCACUAGUCAUCAGCUAAUGUUGAUUAUGUCCCUGCCCUUUGUACACACCGCCCGUCGCUACUACUGAUUGGGUGUUCAAGUGAGAUGCUUAGACCCUUGUUGCAUGGUUCAUUAUUGUGCUCCGAAAGGAAAAAGUUUCAAGCUUGAGUGUCUAGAGGAAGUAAAAGUCGUAACA
rnacentral:rRNA from 1 species